UACGUAGGGGGCGAGCGUUGUCCGGAUUUAUUGGGCGUAAAGAGCGCGUAGGCGGCCAGGUAGGUCUGCUGUGAAAACUCGAGGCUCAACCUCGAGACGUCGGCGGAAACCAUCUGGCUAGAGUCCGGAAGAGGAGAGUGGAAUUCCUGGUGUAGCGGUGAAAUGCGCAGAUAUCAGGAAGAACACCCGUGGCGAAGGCGGCUCUCUGGGCCGUGACUGACGCUGAGGAGCGAAAGCAUGGGGAGCGAACAGG
rnacentral:rRNA from 1 species